CUCUCCCUCUCUCCCUUUCUGUUGGUUUCUGAUUUCUGGUUAUUUGUUACUCCAUCUGGAAUAAACAAGCCAAAAAAAAAAAAAAAAUCCUUCAUCUGGGGCAUGGGGAGGCAUCCCAAAGACCACGGGUUAUUUCUACAGGAUUCCAAAGUCUAGAAACCAUCUAAGGUGUUCCAUUAAUUUGGGAACCAAUACUGAAGUUUUAGAUAGGUCCAACAUGGAUUUGAGGAGCCAAGGAAGACUCAGAAGGGCCAUGCCUUUGAUAGGUUCCUAGCAUCUUGGUUGUACAAGAAGAACUAAUGGACUUCUGAAGCAAAGAAGUCCAAUUAUUAAAUGUUAUUGUCUUGCCUUGUCUUAUGAACCUGAUCUAUCUUUGUGUGUUCUGACUUGGAGAAGUAAGGCACUGCCAAACGUAUCAGUUCCAGGUGCCACCUAGCCCCACCUCCCACCUGCAUCCAUGACAGAGAAGCUGGGUCACAGAAUUUGUGAUAGCCCUCUCAACUCAGCUGCACAGCUGCAACUCCAAGGUACUAGCCCUCAAACCUGUCCAAGAUGUGCUGAAUAUGGCGUUUAAGAUGUCUAAACUUACUAUGUCAGAUAGACUGCCAGAUCCUGGCAGUGACCCCUAAGGUCGCCAAGAAGAUAAUGGGCAUACGGAUGAAGGACUCCACCUGGAUUCUAAACACUUGGCAAGACUUCCCCAAUGCUGGGUCCAGCCAGAACUGCGGACAAACAGGACACAGAAGAGUUGAUUCCCCACUUUGCCUAGACAAGGUAAGGUCAGUGUCUCCCAUGUUCCUCCUCCACAGAAAAGCCUCUCAUCUUCUAAGCUUGAUAGACAAAGACCACGUGGAAAGCAUGAGAGCCUAGGAAUGAAUUAUGGACUAGUCUCUGUCAGUUAAUUGAGACAUAGGCCGUUUGGAUUAUAAUGUAUCCUUCUCAGGUUUCUGAUCACAUUGACAGCUAAGCUAACUGUAGCUUUGUCAGCUAGGGAACGACAGGCAACUAAUUCCUUCCCCCAAGGUAAUCUACCACCAUAUUAGUUCAUCAAUUAAUUAGUUAAAGCUACUAGGUCUCUUAUUAAAAAAGGCAAAGAGGUUUGCCUUACUCACAGAUUUCAUGUUUAAGGAUAAACAAGUUUUAGAUGUAACUGUACACUAAAGAAACAUGUUUUAUAAUUACUGCUCUCAAUAAUAACUAUAUUUCAUGUCUUUGAUAAAUGAUUAGAUUUAAAAAUUGUUCUAAAAUAUAUAAAGGUUUGAGUAUAUAAAAAUCUAUAAAUGUUUCCAAUUUCUUUCCCCUUCUUAUGCUGCUACUGCACUGAGAUUUCAGAGGUUCAAGACUUGAUAAAGCACUGACUGCUUACUACUCAGUCACAAGAUCAGGAUGUUAAAUUUUCUGAUUGUCUUCCAGAUAUAAAACUUCCAGAUAUAAAACCUUUCAUCGGGCUAAAACUUCUCUGUCCAAUUGAUAUACCUGGACAAAAAAAGUUCAUGUUUUUUAACCCAAAACUAUAAUUUUUGCUCUGACUCAAAAGUCAUGAGUCUAUUCUUGCUGUCUUGCAGACACCUGUUAAUUGCUUUUUCUAAAAUAUGGGUUUUAAUACAAUGGUAAUACUAAUAUAUCUCUGUUUGUAAAUUAAAUAUUCAUGUAAGCUUCAAGGAAUCAGUGAAAUUAUAAGACUUAGAUCCAGCUUCCACAGGUCAAACAGACUCCAGAUAAGUACACCUGCCUGUUCCUGAAAAUGGGAUUCUCACUUCCUGGUCUUGGAAUUCCUCCCCUUCCCCAGUUACUAGGAAAAUUCUAGGCCUAGGCUAUGUGUGUCUCACAGGUUUUUCCCUUGGCUUACCAACUCCACUCAGGGCUCACCUGUGGACUGACUGCUGAGCUCUGGACUUGCAGAAAGUUGAAGUGACAGAUCAUCCGCUCACCAGACAUUUUGAUAAAUGCCCCACUGCCCAGCCUUUGAACAGCCUUUUAGCCUUUCUGGACCCUAACAACAAUGCCCUAAUGUUGGGUGGAAGUAGUUACAGAUGAGAAUACACCACUCUCUCCUCCAGCAGAGAGCAAGGUACCCAAAGGAAAGACCAAGGGGAAGAAGGUGCCCUCUCCCCACACCAUUGUCAAGAAACAGGAGGCCAAAAAGGUGGUCAAUCCUUUGAGAAAAGGCAUAAGAACAUCAACGUUGGGCAGGACAUCCAGCCCAAAAGAGAUCUCACACGCUUCGUCAAAUGGCCCAGCUACAUCAGACUGCAGUGACAAAGGGUCAUCCUCUAGGGGCUCAAAGCACCUCCUGCCAUUAACCAUUUCACCCAGGCCCUGGGCAGACAAACAGUGACUCAGCUGCUUAAGCUUGCCCACAAGUACAGGCCAGAAACAAAGCAGGAGAAGAAGCAAAGGCUGCUGGCCCAUGCUGAGAAGAAAACUGCUGGCAGAGGGGAUGUCCCAACUAAGAGUCCAUCUGUCCUCCAAGUGGGGGUCAACACAGGCACCACCUUGGUGGAGAACAAGAAGGCUCAGCCAGUGGUGAUUGGCCGUAGGUAGACCACAUUAAGCUGAUGGUUUUCCUGCCUGCCCUGAGUCAAAGGAUGGGGGAGGCAGGAGAGGGGGGUGCCCUACUGCAUCAUCAAGGGAAAGGCCAGACUGGAGCUCCUGGUCCACAGGAAAACAUGCAUCACUGUUACCUUCACACUGGUUAACUCGGAAGACAAGGGUGCUCUGGCUAAGCUGGUGGAAGCUGUUAAGACCAACUACCACAACAAAUAAGAUGUGAUUUGACACCACUGAGGAGGCAAAGUCCUGAGUCAGAAGUCUGUGGCUCGCACUGCCAAGCUGAAAAUGGCAAUGGCCAAAGACCUUGCCACUAAAACUGGGUUAAAUGUACACUAAGUUUUCUGUACAUAAAUAUAAUUACAAAAUUAAAAAAAAAAAGAAGAGAAUACACCAUCCAUUGUCCCACCUAACAGGCUGAAAUGCUAUGUCAUCAAAAGGAAACUCCCAUGGCUAUCUACAAUACCAACUGAUAUGCCAAAAAGGAUCCAGAUCUGUUAACUAACUAGACUCACUAACUAAAAUAGUUCUACAAUAUAGGGCUUUUAAAAAAUAUCAUUUCUAUACAAACCAUUCGGGAUUAUAAUCUGGCUGUACUCAAAAACAUUACAAAAAGGAGACCUGAAAUAAAAUAAAUGACUAGUUCCCCAUUCAUUCCCAAGCUCCUUCUAGAUAGUAACUCUGAUGGUUAUUAGAUCCAAAAAUAAAAUGCUCAUAGGGUCAAGGAUGCCACCCAAGGAACAGGUCAGGUGGGGGAUUUAAUACCCAAUAUUAAUUUGUAAGCCCCGUCUGCCCAGGAGCCCAGUAACUUCCUGGAAUGCUGGGAGUUAUAGUUCUGGGAAAACAACAAGGUCUCUUGGGAGAGUACAGUGACCUAUAGGUAUGUCCUCAUAAGCCCCUGCAACAAGUGACUUGAGGCUAUCCUCAGAUUGAAAAUUCUGGGAAAUGGUUCUGACCAAAGUCCAUCUCUUAGUAUUUAAUAUGUAAUAAUUGCUUUAAAUUUGGACCAAAAUGGUGAAACUGGUUUUUUCUGAUGAGUCACAGGAUUAACACAUGCAAGGGUCUUUUCUGCAUGCAUUUGUGAGCCAAGUUCAGUCCAUUUCAAACACUUACCUGUUCUAUUAAUUUGGCUCAAGUGUGUUUUCUCUUAGGAAAGGGUUUACCCUUCACUACUAUAAAAUAAAUUAACCAUUAAAACCUGUGGCAUCUGACCCUCAGGAGCAUAUAUAUUCACAGCCUGGGCAAGGGGAGGGGGAGAAGUGUAGCAAAAUACCUAGUUUUCAGAGAACAACGACCAAAAACCCCCUUCUGAAUAGAACUUUGUCAAUGUUGCUUGAUAAAAAUUAACUCAAUGCUUAUAGACUGGAAGCUUUGAGAUUAUCAUGUGAAAAAGCAUGACAGGAGAAAAUACAAAAGCACAACAUACAGAAUGCAUUAGCUGAGACGAAGUAGCCACACCACCACUUGGAGACUGAAAGACCUGUAAGCUGACAAAUUUAAAAGGGAACAGAAGUGCAUGCUGGUUCCAAAUAUUACCACUUCUCCAAUAUUCAAGACUGAAGCCACUGUGUUAAUAAAGACUGUAGCAGGCACAGUCAAAACAUCAUUAAUUUGGGGCUACAGAGCACAUUAUAGAACACAAGAGAUUUAGAGCAGAUUUAUACUCCUAAUUAUGUUUUGUAUUAUCUAAUCAUCUCACAAUACUUCCUAGACUCACAGUGAGGGUGACGCUGAAUGCCUUCCCUUCCAGCCUGGAUGAGACCUAACGCAGAUGCACGUUUCACAAAAAUUAUCUUAAGGCAUUGAGGUUUACACAUCUACUGUAGAACUGAAAAUUAGUCCUCUGAGUCACAGCAAAAUGAUCAAAAAAAAAAAAAAAA
rnacentral:sRNA from 1 species